CCCUUAGAUGUUCUGGGCCGCACGCGCGCUACACUGACGAAUGCAACGAGCUUAUAACCUUGGCCGAAAGAUUUGGGUAACCCGCGAAUCUCCUUCGUGCUAGGGAUUGAGGUUUGCAAUUAUCCUUCAUGAACGAGGAAUUCCCAGUAAGUGCAAGUCAUAAGCUUGCGCUGACUACGUCCCUGCCCUUUGUACACACCGCCCGUCGCUACUACCGAUUGAAUGAUUUAGUGAGGACUUCGGACUGGGACCGAUGCGGCUUUCGGGCUGCGUCGGUAUUCUGGAAAGAUGUCCAAACUGUAUCAUUUAGAGGAAGUAAAAGUCGUAACA
rnacentral:rRNA from 1 species